rnacentral:rRNA from 1 species
AAAAGCUCGUAGUUGGAUCUCAGCUCGAGACGGAGGGUCCGCCUACCGGUGGUUACUUUCUGUUCUCAGCAUUCCGCCGGUUUCUCUUGAUGAUCUUCACCGGUUGUCUUGGGUGACCGGCAAGUUUACUUUGAAAAAAUUAGGGUGCUCAAAGCGGGCGUGACGCCUGAAUAAUGGUGCAUGGAAUAAUGGAAUAGGACCUCGGUUCUAUUUUGUUGGUUUUCGGAACACGAGGUAAUGAUUAAGAGGGACAGACGGGGGCAUUCGUAUUGCGACGCUAGAGGUGAAAUUCUUGGACCGUCGCAAGACGAACUACUGCGAAAGCAUUUGCCAAGAAUGUUUCCAUUAAUCAAGAACGAAAGUUAGAGGUUCGAAGGCGAUCAGAUACCGCCCUAGUUCUAACCAUAAACGAUGCCAGCCAGCGAUCCGGCUGUGUUCCUCAAAUGACACGCCGGGCAGCUUCCGGGAAGCCAAAGCUUUUGGGUUCCGGGGGAAGUAUGGUUGCAAAGCUGAAACUUAAAGGAAUUGACGGAAGGGCACCACCAGAAAUGGAGCCUGCGGCUUAAUUUGACUCAACGCGGGUAAACUCACCCGGCCCGGACACAGGAAGGAUUGACAGAUUAAGAGCUCUUUCUUGAUUCUGUGGGUGGUGGUGCAUGGCCGUUCUUAGUUGGUGGGGCGACUUGUCUGGUUAAUUCCGAUAACGAACGAGACUCUAGCCUACUAAAUAGACGCUCCGAUCCUUCGAGUCGGACGUUCUUCUUAGAGGGACAAGCGGCGCUUAGCCGCACGAAACAGAGCAAUAACAGGUCUGGGAUGCCCUUAGAUGUCCGGGGCCGCACGCGCGCUACAUUGAAGGAAUCAGCGUGUGCUUUCCCUAUCCGACAGGAUUGGGUAACCCGCUGAACCUCCUUCGUGCUGGGGAUAGGAGCUUGUAAUUGUUCUCCUUGAACGAGGAAUUCCCAGUAAGCACGAGUCAUAAUCUCGUGUUGAUUACGUCCCUGCCCUUUGUCCACACCGCCCGUCGCUACUACUGAUUGAAUGAUUUAGUGAGGUCUUCGGACUGGCGCUCGGAUUGGCCUUCGGGUCGAGCCGAAGUGCCGGAAAGAUGACCAAACUUGAUCAUUUAGAAGAAGUAAAAGUCGUAACAAGGUUUCC